rnacentral:rRNA from 1 species
GUGUCAGCCGCCGCGGUAAUACGUAGGGUGCGAGCGUUAAUCGGAAUUACUGGGCGUAAAGCGUGCGCAGGCGGUAAUGUAAGACAGAUGUGAAAUCCCCGGGCUUAACCUGGGACCUGCAUUUGUGACUGCAUUGCUGGAGUGCGGCAGGAGGGGGAUGGAAUUCCGCGUGUAGCAGUGAAAUGCGUAGAUAUGCGGAGGAACACCGAUGGCGAAGGCAAUCCCCUGGGCCUGCACUGACGCUCAUGCACGAAAGCGUGGGGAGCAAACAGGAUUAGAUACCCUGGUAGUCCACGCCCUAAACGAUGUCAACUGGUUGUUGGGCCUUCACUGGCUACAGUAAACGAAGCUAACGCGUGAAGUUGACCCGCCUGGGGAGUAA